UUGGGUUGUUCUUGUAAGGAUGAUUUAGCUGCAGCUCACAAGAACUGUGCUGAAACCUGGUUCAAGAUUAAGGGUAAUAGGUGAGUGCAAAAAAAAACUAUCUUUCAUUCAUUUGUUUGUAUAACUUGAUUUAUUUAUUUUUGGUUAGUUUCAAAUUUCUUGGAAAAAAAUUAGGAUACCCUUUUUGAGUAGUGGAAUUUCUUGUGUUUUUAGUGUUGCUGGUGUUUAAUGUCUGAUUGAAGAGUAUGAAUAUGACAUUAAUGAUAAUGAUGAUGGCUGAUUAGGAAAGUUAUUAAACACUUUAAUUAUGGAAUUUGAGUUGUGGAUUGUUUAAUUAAGUGAUGAAUGUAAAGCUGGACAAGGUGAUGUAAAAGGUACUUGGAAGCAUAUUUUAGAAGGUUUAAAGAACAAAAACUAUAAGGACUAAGGCUCAAUUAUUUCUUCAACAAAGAGGAAAGUUAAAGAAGAUUAGCUAAUUUUAAAGAAGAAGAUAGGAAAAUAAAGGUGUAAAGCAUCACCUAGUGCCACUGAUUUGCUGACAUGUCUAAGCACAGUGGGAUUCUUUGUUUGCUUUGGCUCUUUUUCUGAAAUUUAGGAAUCUCUAUUUUUUUUAAUCUUUAGCUCUAUCAAAGUGGAGAUUUGACCCUUGUACCUUGCUAUCAUGUGUACACAUAUCUUAG
rnacentral:lncRNA from 1 species